ensembl:lncRNA LINC00430 long intergenic non-protein coding RNA 430
AAAGGUCAAGGGCCCACAAAGGAAGGUCAGGUCUUCCUUGUUCAGCAGUUGAUUUUAAUUUGCUUAAUGAAAACUUUAUCCACAGAGCAGAGAUUGGUGGAACCAAGCCUGUAACCUCAGGGGGAAUCUAAGUGCUAGGACUGAGGAGUGGGGACAGAAUUAAGAAGUGGAUUCCACAUGACAGGAUCCAAGAUCUAACCAGAUCAAGCUCUGGCUUCACCCCAUGGCAGGAUCCAGUCAGUGUUCUUCUAGGGCUCCUCAUUGACCAAAGCAAACUG